rnacentral:rRNA from 1 species
UACGAAGGGGGCUAGCGUUGCUCGGAAUCACUGGGCGUAAAGCGCACGUAGGCGGCUUCUUAAGUCAGGGGUGAAAUCCUGGAGCUCAACUCCAGAACUGCCUUUGAUACUGAAGAUCUUGAGUCGGGAGAGGUGAGUGGAACUGCGAGUGUAGAGGUGAAAUUCGUAGAUAUUCGCAAGAACACCAGUGGCGAAGGCGGCUCACUGGCCCGAUACUGACGCUGAGGCACGAAAGCGUGGGGAGCAAACAGG